UNGAGACACCACACUGCCUGGAAAAGCCUCCA
rnacentral:piRNA from 1 species